UACGUAGGGGGCAAGCGUUGUCCGGAAUCAUUGGGCGUAAAGAGCGUGUAGGCGGUCCGGUCAGUCGGUUGUGAAAGUCAAGGGCUCAACCCUUGAAUGCCGGCCGAUACUGCCGGGCUAGAGUCCGGAAGAGGUGAGUGGAAUUCCUGGUGUAGCGGUGAAAUGCGCAGAUAUCAGGAGGAACACCGGUGGCGAAGGCGGGUCUCUGGGCAUCUCCUGACGCUCAGGCGCGAAAAGCGUGGGGGAGCGAACAGG
rnacentral:rRNA from 1 species